GUGCGUAUUGUUAUGCGUUUACUUUUCUACAUUGGCUAGAGGUAUAGGGGGAGGGUUGAGAUCUCACAAACAUGUUUAACCCCGCCGCAUUUUUGCGCCUGUCCCAAGUCAAGAGCCUCUGGCUUUUGUUUGUCUUGUAUUAUUUUAAUUUUAGUUUCUUGUGUACAAUUUGGAAAUUAGUAUGGCGUUCAUUAUCACUGAACUAGUAUAUAUUUGUUUAGGGUCCAGUUGAAGGACGCCUCCGGGUGCGGGAAUUUCUCGCUACAUUGAA
rnacentral:lncRNA from 1 species